UGGGGAAUAUUGGCCAAUGGGCGAAAGCCUGAUCCAGCCAUGCCGCGUGUGUGAAGAAGGUCUUCGGAUUGUAACGCACUUUAAGUUGGGAGGAAGGGCAUUAACCUAAUACGUUAGUGUUUUGACGUUACCGACAGAAUAAGCACCGGCUAACUCUGUGCCAGCAGCCGCGGUAAUACAGAGGGUGCAAGCGUUAAUCGGAAUUACUGGGCGUAAAGCGCGCGUAGGUGGUUUGUUAAGUUGAAUGUGAAAUCCCCGGGCUCAACCUGGGAACUGCAUCCAAAACUGGCAAGCUAGAGUAGGGCAGAGGGUGGUGGAAUUUCCUGUGUAGCGGUGAAAUGCGUAGAUAUAGGAAGGAACACCAGUGGCGAAGGCGACCACCUGGGCUCAUACUGACACUGAGGUGCGAAAGCGUGGGGAGCAAACA
rnacentral:rRNA from 1 species